rnacentral:tmRNA from 1 species
GGGGGUGUUUUGGUUUUGACAGCAUAUUGUAUCGGAGUGUAAGCAUGUCGGGCGUUGCGAUGGUGGCCCGUUAAUCCCAACACGCAAGCCAUAACUGGCGAAACAAAUGUAGCUCUCGCUGCGUAGAAUGCCAAGCAUUUUACCUUAAUCCUGUCGGCCAAGGUUGCCGGUAGGGCGAGUAUCCCGCCGACGGUUCCUGCUCUUUAGCCGGCCGGCAUACGGGGUAUCAUCCAUAAAGAGAUAGUUGUGCCGACGUCGCUACCGCGCAAUGAAAACUCAGCGACUAAGAACUCCGCAUGGGCGCUUUCGUCCGGCGGCGUUACGAAAACCAAUCGAAAGCUAAACAUGUAGAAAGCAUUUGGAUGAUUUGUUUGGACGCGAGUUCGACUCUCGCCACCUCCACCA